GAUGAACGCUGGCGGCGUGCCUAAUACAUGCAAGUCGAGCGAACAGACGAGGAGCUUACUCCUCUGACGUUAGCGGCGGACGGGUGAGUAACACGUGGAUAACCUACCUAUAAGACUGGGAUAACUUCGGGAAACCGGAGCUAAUACCGGAUAACAUGUUGAACCGCAUGGUUCAACAGUGAAAGACGGUCUUGCUGUCACUUAUAGAUGGAUCCGCGUCGCAUUAGCUAGUUGGUAAGGUAACGGCUUACCAAGGCAACGAUGCGUAGCCGACCUGAGAGGGUGAUCGGCCACACUGGAACUGAGACACGGUCCAGACUCCUACGGGAGGCAGCAGUAGGGAAUCUUCCGCAAUGGGCGAAAGCCUGACGGAGCAACGCCGCGUGAGUGAAGAAGGUCUUCGGAUCGUAAAACUCUGUUAUUAGGGAAGAACAAAUGUGUAGGUAACUAUGCACGUCUUGACGGUACCUAAUCAGAAAGCCACGGCUAACUACGUG
rnacentral:rRNA from 1 species